rnacentral:tRNA from 1 species
GCAGUCGCGGCCGAGUGGUUAAGGCGACGGAUUUGAAAUCCGUUGGGAUCUUCCCGCACAGGUUUGAAUCCUAUCGAUUGCG